AAUCACAAAGGCUAGAGGAGCAUCUGGUUAGUAGUGCCCAUCUCAUAGCAGCCAGGGACAAAGUAAGUCCUCGUUUAUCACAACCUGGCUUCUGUUCUGUGCCCUUGCUGGGUUCAUGUCCUGGAAAUAGAA